rnacentral:rRNA from 1 species
AAAGCGUACACAAUAAAUGCCUAAACAGUCAAAAACGAUCAAAGACGUGCUAAUCUACAAAAAGCGUCGGUAAGCUAAUAUAAAGCGGUACUAGCCGGCGAUGUCCGAAUGGAUAAAUCCAGUGCAUUAAUGCGCUAUCGUUUGAUAAAUUCAUAGUCAAACAAGGCAAACCGGGGAAACUGAAACAUCUCAAUACCCCGAUAAAAAAAAUCAACCAAAAUUCCCCCAGUAGCGGCGAGCAAACGAGCAGCAGCCCAGAGUCAACAUCAAUAUUUACCGCAGGAAAAAGAUCUGAAAAAGGCGGCAACAAAAAAUGAUAGCCCCGUAUCUGAAACGGUAAGUGUUCUGAACUCGAAGAGUAGGGCAAGACACGUGUUAUCCUGUCUAAACUGUCUGAAUAUAAGGGGACCAUCCUCCAAAGCUAAAUACUUCUGACUGACCGAUAGUGAACCAGUACCGUGAAGAAAAGGCGAAAAAAAACCCCGGAAAAGGAAAUAAAAUAGAACUUGAAAACGUGUACGUACAAGCAGUAGGAGCACCCAAAAAAGUGUGACUGCGUACCUUUUGUAUAAUGGAGUCAGCAACUUAUAUUCUGUAGCAAGGUUAACCGGAUAGAAAAGCCGUAAGAAAACCGAUUCUUAACUGGGCGUUCAGUUACAGAGUAUAAACUCGAAACACGGUGAUCUAGCCAUGGGUAAGUUGAAGGUUAAGUAACACUAACUGAAAGACCAAACUGACUAAUGUUAAAAAAUUAGCAGAUGACUUGUAGCUGGGGUGCAAAACCAAUCAAACCAAGGAGAUAGUUGGUUCUCGCCGAAGCUAUUUAGGUAACGCCUCGUGAAUUCAUCUUCAGGGAUAAAGCACCGUUUCGGCUGGGAGUCAUCCGACUACAACCGAUAAACUACAAAUACCGAAGAAUGUUAUCACGGGAGACAGACGGCGGGUGAUAACGUCCGUCGUGAAAAGGAAACAACAAACCCAGCUAAAGUCCCCAAGUCAUGGUUAGUAAGAAACGAAGUAGGAAGGCUUAGAAGCCAAGAUGUUGGCUUAGAAGCAGCCAACAUUUAAAGAAAGCGUAAUAGCUCACUAGUCAAGUCAGCCUGUGCAAAAGAUGUAACGGAGCUAAACCAUGCACCAAAGCUGGGCCAACGACAUUUAAAUGUCGUUGGGUAAGGGGAAGCGUUCUGUAAGCCGUAGAAGCUGGACUGAGAAGUCUGCUGAAGGUAUCAGAAGUGCGAAUACUAACAUAAAUAACGAUAAAGCGGGUAAAAAACUCGCUCGCCGAAAGACCAAAAUUUCCUGUCCAACGUUAAUCAGAGCAAGGUAAGUCGAGACCCCUAAGGCAAGGGUGAAAAGCUUAGUCGAUGAGAAACAAGUUAAUAUUCCCGUACUAAAGGUUACUGAAAAGGGGAAAAAAAAGGCUAAGGUAUCCGAGCGACGGUUGUCCCGGUUUAAGCGAGUAGGUGGGGUAAUGCAGGCAAAUCAGCACUACUAAAAGACUGAGACGUGAUGACAAGCCACCAAGGUAGUGAAUUAGUUGAUGCCCAGCUUCCAAGAAAAGCCUCUAAGCGAUAGGUAAUCAUUAAUCGCGUACCCUAAACCAACACAAGUGGUUAGGUAGAGAAUACUCAGGUGAAGAAACUAGGCAAAAUACUGCCGUAACUUCGGGAAAAGAGAAGCUAGCAUUAGGUAAAAGCUCUAGCAUCCGGAACUAAAGCCAGUCGAAGAUACCAGCUGGCUGCAACUGUUUAUUAAAAACACAGCACUGUGCAAACACAAAAGUGGACGUAUACGAUGUCACGCCUGCCCGGUGCUGAAAAGUUAAUUGAUGGGGUAAGCCGUAAGCCAAAGCUCUUGAUCAAAACCACAGUAAACCGCGGCCGUAACUAUAACGAUCCUAAGGUACCGAAAUUCCUUGUCGGGUAAGUUCCGACCUCCACAAAUAGCGUAAUAAUGGCCAGGCUGUCUCCACCCGAAACUCAGUGAAAUUAAACUCGCUGUGAACAUGCAGCGUACCCGCGGCAAGACGGAAAGACUCCGUGAACCUUUACUAUAGCUUGACACUGAACAUUAAGUCUUGAUGUGUAAGAUAGAUGAGAGGCUUUGAAGUGUGGGCGCCAGUCUGAUAAGGCCAACAUUGAAAUACCACCCUUUAAUGUUUGAUGUUCUA